UUGGAUGGAAUGCAGCUUGGGAUGAUCUCGGCUGAAACAUGCAUGAUUUUCAAGACAUCAUACCCUAGAAGAGUAAAGAUACUCAACCAGCAUGAACCAAGCAGCAUCUUUCGGCAGAAAGAAUUCGACUUUCAAUCACUGGGUGUUGGUACUGAUGAAUCAUUUAAAGAGAUGUUCCUGGGAUGAUUGCCUCGAGAUGUACCAUCCACGCGUUGCCAGAAAAUAUGGUGUCAAGCAUGUGAAAGGUUUCCUAAUCCAUGGACCUUCUGGUACGGGGAAGACUCUCUUAGCUCGCACACUUG